GUAGCUUCUUGGCCUUUUGGCUAAGAUCAAGUGUAGUAUCUGUUUUUAUCAGUAUUAACAUUCCAAUAUUAAUGUUUGCUUUUUCCAAAGAAUCAAGAAGCAUUAACCUUUAUUGUUUAAUAAGAACUGCAUUUAGUAAGUUAUCUACCCUAGCCUGCUGUUCUAAGUGAACAUGGCGUUCUUUUGCAGCUAUUGUGACAAUUAUUUCAC
ensembl:snRNA U2 U2 spliceosomal RNA